rnacentral:sRNA from 1 species
ACACAAGGAAGGAGGUGGUCCGCGAAAUUGAUAGCUUCAUGGACAUGUGAGGUGGCUGCGCGCUAGCUGCAUUGGCUUCCGAAGAGCUGGCGUCAACGCGCUGGCGAAUUCCCCGCAGUCACCCGGCCCCCGAGCUUCCGGUCUUGUCCAACCAGGCGCAUGCUCGGGGGCCGCUCCAU